rnacentral:rRNA from 1 species
UACGAAGGGGGCUAGCGUUGCUCGGAAUCACUGGGCGUAAAGCGCACGUAGGCGGCUUUCUAAGUCGGGGGUGAAAUCCUGGAGCUCAACUCCAGAACUGCCUUCGAUACUGCAUAGCUAGAGUCCUGGAGAGGAAGGUGGAAUGCUUGGUGUAGAGGUGAAAUUCGUAGAUAUCAAGCGGAACACCGGUGGCGAAGGCGGCCUUCUGGGACAGUGACUGACGCUGAGA